rnacentral:rRNA from 1 species
AUUGAACGCUGGCGGCAUGCUUUACACAUGCAAGUCGAACGGUAACAGGUUAAGCUGACGAGUGGCGAACGGGUGAGUAAUGCAUCGGAACGUGCCCGAUCGUGGGGGAUAACGCAGCGAAAGCUGCGCUAAUACCGCAUACGAUCUUAGGAUGAAAGCGGGGGACCGUAAGGCCUCGCGCGAUCGGAGCGGCCGAUGUCAGAUUAGGUAGUUGGUGGGGUAAUGGCUCACCAAGCCAACGAUCUGCAGCUGGUCUGAGAGGACGACCAGCCACACUGGGACUGAGACACGGCCCAGACUCCUACGGGAGGCAGCAGUGGGGAAUUUUGGACAGUGGGCGAAAGCCUGAUCCAGCAAUGCCGCGUGCAGGAAGAAGGCCUUCGGGUUGUAAACUGCUUUUGUACGGAGCGAAAAGGCUCUCUCUAAUACAGGGGGCUCAUGACGGUACCGUAAGAAUAAGCACCGGCUAACUACGUGCCAGCAGCCGCCGUAAAAC